rnacentral:rRNA from 2 species
UCUGGUUGAUCCUGCCUGAACUGAUGUGUUCAUUUCAAAGAUUAAGCCAUGCAUGUGUAAGUUUAACCUGCCAGACAGGGAAACUGCGUACGGCUCAUUACACCAGCUAUAAUUUACUUGACCUUGACUUCUUACUUGGAUAACUGUGGUAAUUCUAGAGCUAAUACAUGCACCAAAGCUCCAAUCUCCCCAGAGCGGAGCGCAUUUGUUCGCCACAAAACCAAGCGCCCUCCGGGCGUCCAGUGUUGACUCAGAACAACUAAGCUGAUCGCACGGUCUUGUACCGGCGACGUGUCUUUCAAGUGUCUGCCUUAUCAACUUUCGAUGGUAGUGUAUCUGACUACCAUGGUGAUGACGGGUAACGGAGGAUAAGGGUUCGACUCCGGAGAAGGGGCCUGAGAAAUGGCCACUACGUCUAAGGAUGGCAGCAGGCGCGCAAAUUACCCACUCUCAACGCGAGGAGGUAGUGACGAGAAAUAACGAGACCGAUCUCUUAUGAGGCCGGUCAUCGGAAUGGGUACAAUUUAAACCCUUUAACGAGUAUCUAUGAGAGGGCAAGUCUGGUGCCAGCAGCCGCGGUAAUUCCAGCUCUCAAAAUGCAUAGAAUUAUUGCUGCGGUUAAAAAGCUCGUAGUUGGAUCUGUGCUAGCCGUCCGGUGCACACUUUGUGUGUUACUGGUUUGGUUGGCUUUUCUGCCGGUCUCUCCCCGGCGUUGGCCUUUACCGGUCGGCGUCGGUGGGCUGGCGAGUUUACUUUGAACAAAUCAGAGUGCUUCAAACAGGCGUUUCGCUUGAAUGUUCGUGCAUGGAAUAAUAGAAGAGGAUUUCGGUCCGAUUUUAUUGGUUUUGCUGACCGAGAUAAUGGUUAACAGAGACAAACGGGGCCAUUCGUAUUGCUACGUGAGAGGUGAAAUUCUUGGACCGUAGCAAGACGGACUACAGCGAAAGCAUUUGGCAAGAAUGUCUUCAUUAAUCAAGAACGAAAGUCAGAGGUUCGAAGGCGAUCAGAUACCGCCCUAGUUCUGACCGUAAACGAUGCCAACUAGCGAUCCGCCGGCGGAUUUAUUCGCCCUGGUGGGGAGCUUCCCGGAAACGAAAGUCUUCCGGUUCCGGGGGAAGUAUGGUUGCAAAGCUGAAACUUAAAGGAAUUGACGGAAGGGCACCACCAGGAGUGGAGCCUGCGGCUUAAUUUGACUCAACACGGGGAAACUCACCCGGCCCGGACACCGUAAGGAUUGACAGAUUGAUAGCUUUUUCAUGAUUCGGUGGAUGGUGGUGCAUGGCCGUUCUUAGUUCGUGGAGCGAUUUGUCUGGUUUAUUCGAUAACGAGCGAGACUCUAGCCUACUAA